rnacentral:rRNA from 1 species
GCAAGUCGAACGAGAAAGCUUCCUUCGGGAAGUGAGUAAAGUGGCGAAAGGGUGAGUAAUAUAUGGACGACCUACCCUCGAGACGGGGAUAACAGUUCGAAAGGACUGCUAAUACCCGAUGGUUCUGUUGGCCUACGGGCCUUCGGAUAAACGGUGAUUCCGCUCGUGGAGGGGUCCAUGUCCUAUCAGCUUGUUGGUGAGGUAACGGCUCACCAAGGCUAUGACGGGUAGCCGGACUGAGAGGUUGGCC